GGAUAACAUUUGGAAACAGAUGCUAAUACCGCAUAGAUCCAAGAACCGCAUGGUUCUUGGCUGAAAGAUGGCGUAAGCUAUCGCUUUUGGAUGGACCCGCGGCGUAUUAGCUAGUUGGUGAGGUAAUGGCUCACCAAGGCGAUGAUACGUAGCCGAACUGAGAGGUUGAUCGGCCACAUUGGGACUGAGACACGGCCCAAACUCCUACGGGAGGCAGCAGUAGGGAAUCUUCCACAAUGGACGCAAGUCUGAUGGAGCAACGCCGCGUGAGUGAAGAAGGCUUUCGGGUCGUAAAACUCUGUUGUUGGAGAAGAAUGGUCGGCAGAGUAACUGUUGUCGGCGUGACGGUAUCCAACCAGAAAGCCACGGCUAACUACGUGCCAGCAGCCGCGGUAAUACGUAGGUGGCAAGCGUUAUCCGGAUUUAUUGGGCGUAAAGCGAGCGCAGGCGGUUUUUUAAGUCUGAUGUGAAAGCCCUCGGCUUAACCGAGGAAGCGCAUCGGAAACUGGGAAACUUGAGUGCAGAGGAGGACAGUGGAACUCCAUGUGUAGCGGUGAAAUGCGUAGAUAUAUGGAAGAACACCAGUGGCGAAGGCGGCUGUCUGGUCUGUAACUGACGCUGAGGCUCGAAAGCAUGGGUAGCGAACAGGAUUAGAUACCCUGG
rnacentral:rRNA from 1 species